GGUAUAUGCUUCUAUUAUGUGACUUUAUUAUACUGUUGACAAGGACCUUCUUGCGUGUGAUGAUUUGUGCUAGACUCAAUUGUGCAGAAUUGGAUAGGACUUGCAAUCCUACAGUAUGUAGGACAGAUUCAUUGAAGAAAUUACCUUGAUUCAACAAGUGAUGGAGGUGGUCGAGGAUUUGGAAGGUACUGUCUGAGGAUCUUUGG